UACGGAGGGUGCAAGCGUUAUCCGGAUUCACUGGGUUUAAAGGGUGCGUAGGCGGGCAGGUAAGUCCGUGGUGAAAUCCCCGAGCUUAACUCGGGAACUGCCAUGGAUACUAUUUGUCUUGAAUAUUGUGGAGGUAAGCGGAAUAUGUCAUGUAGCGGUGAAAUGCUUAGAUAUGACAUAGAACACCAAUUGCGAAGGCAGCUUACUACACGAUCAUUGACGCUGAGGCACGAAAGCGUGGGGAUCAAACAGG
rnacentral:rRNA from 1 species